UACGAAGGGGGCUAGCGUUGUUCGGAAUUACUGGGCGUAAAGCGCGUGUAGGCGGGUCUUUAAGUCAGAGGUGAAAUCCUGGAGCUCAACUCCAGAACUGCCUUUGAUACUGGAGAGCUUGAGUCCGGGAGAGGUGAGUGGAACUGCGAGUGUAGAGGUGAAAUUCGUAGAUAUUCGCAAGAACACCAGUGGCGAAGGCGGCUCACUGGCCCGGUACUGACGCUGAGGUGCGAAAGCGUGGGGAGCAAACAGG
rnacentral:rRNA from 1 species